CCUACGGGGGGCAGCAGUGGGGAAUAUUGGACAAUGGGCGAAAGCCUGAUCCAGCCAUGCCGCGUGUGUGAAGAAGGCCUUCGGGUUGUAAAGCACUUUCAGUGGGGAAGAAAGCCUUGGGGCUAAUACCCUCGAGGAAGGACAUCACCCACAGAAGAAGCACCGGCUAACUCCGUGCUAGCAGCCGCGGUAAUACGGAGGGUGCGAGCGUUAACCGGAAUUACUGGGCGUAAAGCGCGCGUAGGCGGUCUGAUAAGCCGGUUGUGAAAGCCCAGGGCUCAACCUGGGAACGGCAUCCGGUACUGUCAGGCUAGAGUACAGGAGAGGAAGGUAGAAUUCCCGGUGUAGCGGUGAAAUGCGUAGAGAUCGGGAGGAAUACCAGUGGCGAAGGCGGCCCUCUGGACUGACACUGACGCUGAGGUGCGAAAGCGUGGGUAGCAAACAGGAUUAGAUACCCCAGUAGUC
rnacentral:rRNA from 1 species